GCCGGAAAUAAGGCGUUGCGAAAGCGAAUCUGCGAAGCGUGUCUUGCCGGUUCUCCUCUGGGAUCCCCGACUUGCUCUUGCACGGGUCGUCGCUGGCCGCGUGCCGAAGCAAUGCCCGGCGGCCCCGGAAAGGCCUCUCGUUCUCUCCCAGAGCCCGCCGCUAGCUCUUCCCAGCUAUGGGCCGUGUGCUUAGCCGCUACUCCCAGCGUCCUCAGUGGAGGGAGAGAAAGGAGUUACCUGGGGGUCCCGUGAGAAAAACUGUUUCUGAUUGUAGUAUGUUGGACCAAGUGCAUUUUAUCUGAAUUGAAGAGCAAUUCUGGGCAUUGGAUCUGAAACAGCAGCGGUGAUCAAGUGAGGAUCAGUGGAAAAAUAUGGAACUGAAUAAAGAAACAAUACUGUCUUGAAUGGGCAGUUAGUGUAAUAAGGGCUGAAGCCGUGAGAAGAUUGCUACACUCAAGAGUGAGGGUGAUUUCACUAUAGGUACGGUAUACCAGUCCCAGCUAUUAACAAUUUUACUAACCUCAUUUCUUCCUACUACUGAUUCUGUGCCUUUUAAAGACUGGUGUGCAUACUCUCCUUCCAUGAACAAAUAUCUAUCAGAAGUUGUUUUGUAUAAAGUCAAGCUGCACUGCCCAGUAUUCAGAAGCCAAGCUGCAAAAGUUUUUGAGAUCAGUUUGACAAGAAAAAUGGCAGCAAUAUUCAGUAGUUGUAGUGAGCCAUAAGUCCAGCAGAUGGCAAUUAUAGACUCUCCAUGGGAAUUCCAAUUAUCUCAAAUUUCCUAUAAGCCAUGCAGUAAAAUAGAAAGAAUAUGUUUGGUAUGUUUUUUAUAAUAAUUUUUUCUACUUGGCUAGAUUAAAUAGUCAAAGGACAAAGGAAAUAAAAUGACAGUUUAGAUGCUACAAGUUUCAAUAGUUUUAAGUAGUGAUGAAAGCCUUUUGGGGGUAACAGUUAAAGGACCAGGCUACAAACAAUGAGGCUGCAAGUUCUAGGCCUACUUUAGGCACAAAAUCAGCUGGGUAAUUUUGGACCAGUCACUCACUGUCAGCCCUAGGAAGCAGGCAAGGGAAAAUCACUUCUGAAAUCUUUUUAAUAAAACUGCAGGGACUAGUCCAGGCAAUCAUCAGGAGUCAACAUUGACUAGAAGGUGUAGACGUGCGCACACACACACACACAUGGUAGUGAUAAGCUGGUAAUAAUAAUCAGAAUAGAGCUAGAAGGGACCUUGGAGGUCUUCUAGUCCAACCCCCUGCUGAAGCAGGGGACCUAUACAAUUUGAGGCAAGUGGCUGUCCAGACUCUUCUUAAAAACAUCCAGUGAUGAAGCACCCACAACUCCUGAAAUCUUUAUUAAAUCUUUAGAAUACAAUCUUUUUAAAAGUGAUAUAUAAAGUCACAAAGUCAUACUGACUUAUCAAUGGUGUCUAUGCUCACUAUAUAGAAAGAAAGCUGCAUAAGACUGAAAGUUUGACUGCAGUUUUAAGUUUUUCAUACUUGCUGACUUUUUGUUUUUAACGGCACGCUCCAGAAAUAAUACUUUCACAGUGUGGAGAGAUACUAAGAACACUGUGAUUAAAUGCAGGACAAUUCCACCUGCACAAUUACUAAUGUGCCUAUUUGUAGAGAACGUGUGAAAAUUCCACUCCAUGAAUUCCAGGCUCUGAAAGGGCUAACCUUCCUGAUCUGUCAAUCCAGAUAAUGAGCAGUCAGCUGAAAUCCAGGAAAGGCUGCAUAACCAAUUCCUCCACAGGUAAACGUUUGUAAGAGACAGAGGUAGCCUCCAUUUUAUCUUUGUCUUUUGGUAUUCAUAUUUUCUUCUCCCAGGCUUGGUAAAAGCAAAUAAGGGACUGCCCUCCUCCCCGCCAGCUGGCAGCAAUAGACCUUGUUUCUAAUAAGCAGGGCAGUAAGCUAGUUGUAAUACACAUUCGGUUUUUGUUUCUGAGUUGAAAUUGGGUUAUAGGAAUAUGCUCUGAUGUGUAUCAACAGAUCUAACCAUCCAGCUAGUCCUUGAACUAAUAAUAAUUGAAAUCAACAUCUUCAGAAAGUAAUUGUUCAUUUUGUCUUCCUUUUCUUUUUUCUAGGGAUGGAUGGAUGGGUGGAUGGAUGGAUGGGUGACAUGGAAUUAUUUAAGAACUGGUGGUACUAAGAAAAACUGCCUUAUAGCACAAACCAAGGCAGGAUAUCUGAAAGAAGUUGACCAAAGAGUGACAGAAGAGAAAGCAAGCAAACCAAACCUAAUCAGCUGUCCUUGGGAGUUUUUGGGUUGGUGCAGAAGUGGUUGGUGGGAGGAAGCUCCUAUUGUGAAACAGCAGAAGCCUAGGUCAACAAAUCUGUUGUAUGUAUCUAUCUAUCGCACUAGAACACAAAGGUAACUAUUGAGAGGCUGCAUGUUAAUAGAGGAGGGGAACAAGAAGAUCAAGAAUUGGCUUCUUACUGUAGUUUCUUCUGCAUAUUAGCCCAAAUUACCAGAAUGGGUUCAAAAUACGCAGUGAAACGUCUUGUUGCUGAGGCAGACAAAUGCUUAUUUAUAUGGUCUGGUUGCUUGGGAGAGUGGCCACUGUCUUGUAGAAGCUAGGAGAAGAAAUCAGAAGCCCUAAAAGGAGGAGAUGCCUAGCCAAUAAGGGCCUCUUGUGGCUCAACAGACUAAUGCAGUCUGUUAUUAACACAGCUGCCUGCAAUUACUGCAGGUUCUAGUCCCACCAGGCCCAAGGUUGGGUCAGCCUUCCAUCCUUUAUAAGGGUCUGCCCAACUAACCAAGACAGCCUGGAGCAAUGCAUCAGUUACUGGUUCGAGCUGUUACUCAGUGCCACCAACUUCCUUUACUUCCCUCAGUCACAGCUACAGAAGCAAAGCUAAAAGAAGAAUGUCAUCUCCUUUCUCAUCAUCAUUUUGGAAAAGAUCGCAAUUGAGACAAUGGUGAUAACUGAUAGACUUUCUCAACCGCCUUCAUAAAAAUAUGUU